rnacentral:rRNA from 1 species
GAUGAACGCUGGCGGCGUGCCUAAUACAUGCAAGUCGAGCGAACGGACGAGAAGCUUGCUUCUCUGAUGUUAGCGGCGGACGGGUGAGUAACACGUGGAUAACCUACCUAUAAGACUGGGAUAACUUCGGGAAACCGGAGCUAAUACCGGAUAAUAUUUUGAACCGCAUGGUUCAAAAGUGAAAGACGGUCUUGCUGUCACUUAUAGAUGGAUCCGCGCUGCAUUAGCUAGUUGGUAAGGUAACGGCUUACCAAGGCAACGAUGCAUAGCCGACCUGAGAGGGUGAUCGGCCACACUGGAACUGAGACACGGUCCAGACUCCUACGGGAGGCAGCAGUAGGGAAUCUUCCGCAAUGGGCGAAAGCCUGACGGAGCAACACCGCGUGAGUGAUGAAGGUCUUCGGAUCGUAAAACUCUGUUAUUAGGGAAGAACAUAUGUGCAAGUAACUGUGCACAUCUUGACGGUACCUAAUCAGAAAGCCACGGCUAACUACGUG